UCAGGCACUCAGGAGUUAAGCUGUCCCCUUCUCUGAGAUAGGAGACCAAAGGAGCCUAAGAAUCAAGAAACUGGCCACAGGUCGAACCACGGUUGUCAGCUUCAGGUGGACCUGGACCCUCUGCUUUCAAGGCCCAUGGGCUUUGCUUACUACUCCAAAAUACAGGUGUGGCUGAAUAAUAGAGUGAUUAAUUUCACUUUCAGUGCCUUCCUUCCUGAGCUGAAGUGCUUCUGUAGAGACUAAUUCAGUGAAACCUGUUUAGGGGAUCAUCCCUGCUAGACAGACAGCUGCAGGGGCAUCCGCUUCCCAGCAUGGAUUUCAGAUUAUGGCCAAUCAGGAGCCAGAGCUAAGGAACACCUGUCAGCACUGUUUGCUGCAAGGAGACCAGCUCUUUAAUCGAAUUUCAUUGUACUUCAGAAAAAGGUUUAUUUUAAAUGUGGCGUCUGCUUUUAUGAUUCAUCCUUCUCAGCUGAGACAUCACUUUGGGGCUUAUUUAUGCUGUUGUUCUAGGGUGAAACGAGAAACUGCAAGAAAGUAUUUCAAAAGGCGACCUUUCCCAGACAUUCAAUUAGCAACCUUGUCAUGUGGGAAAAUAAAAAAGAAAUGGAAAACUUUA